rnacentral:rRNA from 1 species
UACGUAGGCAGCGAGCGUUGUUCGGAGUUACUGGGCGUAAAGCGUGCGCAGGCGGUGAUGUAAGACAGGUGUGAAAUCCCCGGGCUUAACCUGGGAACUGCAUUUGUGACUGCAUCGCUGGAGUGCGGCAGAGGGGGAUGGAAUUCCGCGUGUAGCAGUGAAAUGCGUAGAUAUCGGGAGGAACACCUGUGGCGAAAGCGGCUCUCUGGACCACAACUGACGCUGAGGCGCGAAAGCGUGGGGAGCAAACAGG